UACGUAGGGGGCGAGCGUUGUCCGGAGUACUGGGCGUAAAGCGCACGCAGGCGGUCUGCUAAGUUUGGAGUGACAGUUGGUGGCUUAACUGCCAAAGUGCUUCGAAAACUGACAGACUUGAGGGCUUCAGAGGGACACGGAAUCCGGGUGGAGUGGUGAAAUGCGUAGAGAUCGGGAGGAACACCAGAGGCGAAGGCGGCAAGCUGGAUGGGCACUGACACUCAACUGCGAAAGCGUGGGGAGCAAACAGG
rnacentral:rRNA from 1 species